rnacentral:rRNA from 1 species
GACAGAGGAUGCAAGCGUUAUCCGGAAUGAUUGGGCGUAAAGCGUCUGUAGGUGGUUUAUUAAGUCUACUGUUAAAGAUCAGGGCUUAACCCUGAGCAGGCAAUAGAAACUAAUAAGCUAGAGUACGGUAGGGGCAGAGGGAAUUCCCGGUGUAGCGGUGAAAUGCGUAGAGAUCGGGAAGAACACCAACGGCGAAAGCACUCUGCUGGGCCGACACUGACACUGAGAGACGAAAGCUAGGGGAGCGAAUGGG